UACGUAGGUGACCAGCGUUGUCCGGAUUUACUGGGCGUAAAGAGCGCGUAGGCGGAAAUUUAAGCGUGGCCUGAAAGCCCCCGGCUCAACUGGGGAGGGUCACGCGAUACUGCUCGACUCGAAGGCAGGAGAGGGAAGUGGAAUUCCCGGUGUAGUGGUGAAAUGCGUAGAUAUCGGGAGGAACACCAGUGGCGAAGGCGACUUCCUGGCCUGUUCUUGACGCUGAGGCGCGAAAGCUAGGGUAGCAAACGGG
rnacentral:rRNA from 1 species